rnacentral:rRNA from 1 species
UACGUAGGGUGCAAGCGUUAAUCGGAAUUACUGGGCGUAAAGCGUGCGCAGGCGGUUUUGUAAGUCUGUCGUGAAAUCCCCGGGCUCAACCUGGGACUUGCAGUUGAAACUGGAAAGCUAGAGUAGGGUAGAGGGGUGUGGAAUUCCAGGUGUAGCGGUGAAAUGCGUAGAUAUCAGGAGGAACACCGAUGGCGAAGGCAGAUCUCUGGGCCGUAACUGACGCUGAGGAGCGAAAGCGUGGGGAGCGAACAGG